GUACUGCUAUAACCAGAAUUUGGUAGAAAAAGGAUCUACUCAUUGGGGCCCUCUUGAUAAAAAGAGAUGUGGGGGGAUUCUCGACCUGCAAACAGAACUGGACCUUUUCGUGGGAGCCAAGAAGAAAGGUUUGCUCCCGGGUGGAACAGGGAUUAUCCUCCUCCUCCCCUUAAGAGUCAUGCUCAAGAGAGACACUCUGGCAACUUUCCUGGCAGAGAUUCACUUCCCUUUGAUUUCCAGGGGCAUUCGGGGCCUCCUUUUGCAAAUGUAGAGGAGCAUUCUUUCAGCUAUGGAGCUAGAGACGGACCGCAUGGUGACUAUCGAGGAGGGGAGGGACCUGGACAUGAUUUCAGGGGGGGAGAUUUUUCGUCUUCUGAUUUCCAGAGCAGAGAUUCAUCACAGUUGGACUUCAGGGGUAGGGACAUACAUUCUGGGGAUUUUCGGGAUAGAGAAGGACCACCUAUGGACUAUAGGGGUGGAGAUGGUACUUCUAUGGAUUAUAGAGGUAGGGAGGCACCUCAUAUGAACUACAGAGACAGGGAUGCUCACGCUGUUGACUUCAGAGGUAGGGAUGCUCCUCCAUCUGACUUCAGGGGCCGGGGCACUUAUGAUUUAGAUUUUAGAGGCCGAGAUGGAUCCCAUGCAGAUUUUAGGGGAAGGGAUUUAUCAGAUUUGGAUUUUAGGGCCAGAGAACAGUCCCGUUCUGAUUUUAGGAAUAGAGAUGUAUCUGAUUUGGACUUCAGAGACAAAGACGGAACACAAGUAGACUUUAGAGGCCGAGGUUCAGGUACUACUGAUCUAGACUUUAGGGACAGGGAUACGCCACAUUCAGAUUUCAGAGGUAGACACCGGUCUAGGACUGAUCAGGAUUUUAGGGGCAGAGAGAUGGGAACUUGUAUGGAAUUUAAAGAUAGGGAGAUGCCCCCUGUGGAUCCAAAUAUUUUGGAUUACAUUCAGCCCUCUACACAAGAUAGAGAACAUUCUGGUAUGAAUGUGAACAGGAGAGAAGAAUCCACACAUGACCAUACGAUAGAAAGGCCUGCUUUCGGCAUUCAGAAGGGAGAAUUUGAGCAUUCAGAAACAAGAGAAGGAGAAACACAAGGUGUAGCCUUUGAACAUGAGUCUUCAGCAGACUUUCGGAACAGCCAGAGUCCAGUUCAAGACCAAGAUAAGUCACAGCUUUCUGGAGGUGAACAGCAGAGUUCAGAUGCUGGUCUGUUUAAAGAAGAAGGCGGUCUGGACUUUCUUGGGCGGCAAGACACUGAUUACAGAAGCAUGGAGUACCGUGAUGUGGAUCAUAGGCUGCCAGGAAGCCAGAUGUUUGGCUAUGGCCAGAGCAAGUCUUUUCCAGAGGGCAAAACUGCCCGAGAUGCCCAACGGGACCUUCAGGAUCAAGAUUAUAGGACUGGCCCAAGUGAGGAGAAACCCAGCAGGCUUAUUCGAUUAAGUGGGGUGCCCGAAAAUGCCACAAAAGAAGAGAUUCUUAAUGCUUUUCGGACUCCUGAUGGCAUGCCUGUAAAGAACUUGCAGUUGAAGGAGUAUAACACAGGUUACGACUAUGGCUAUGUCUGCGUGGAGUUUUCACUCUUGGAAGAUGCCAUCGGAUGCAUGGAGGCCAACCAGGCCAGAUUACCUGUCCCUAUUACUGAGCAGAAGCUGGUGAAUGAAACAGGAGAUCCCUCAGUCAAAAAAAAAAAAAAGGAAAAAGAAAAAUGA
rnacentral:lncRNA from 10 species